GAUGAACGCUGGCGGCGUGCCUAAUACAUGCAAGUCGAGCGAACAGACGAGGCGCUUGCUCCUCUGACGUUAGCGGCGGACGGGUGAGUAACACGUGGAUAACCUACCUAUAAGACUGGGAUAACUUCGGGAAACCGGAGCUAAUACCGGAUAAUAUAUUGAACCGCAUGGUUCAAUAGUGAAAGACGGUUUUGCUGUCGCUUAUAGAUGGAUCCGCGCCGCAUUAGCUAGUUGGUAAGGUAAAGGCUUACCAAGGCAACGAUGCGUAGCCGACCUGAGAGGGUGAUCGGCCACACUGGAACUGAGACACGGUCCAGACUCCUACGGGAGGCAGCAGUAGGGAAUCUUCCGCAAUGGGCGAAAGCUUGACGGAGCAACGCCGCGUGAGUGAUGAAGGUCUUCGGAUCGUAAAACUCUGUUAUUAGGGAAGAACAAAUGUGUAAGUAACUAUGCACGUCUUGACGGUACCUAAUCAGAAAGCCACGGCUAACUACGUG
rnacentral:rRNA from 1 species